UCUUCAAGUUGGAGAAAUAGAAUGAUGUAAACCUAGAGGCUGCUUCUAGGAACUUGGCUGCACUCAAGCCUUGUGUCUGUGCAAGUCACUUGCUGUAUUUAUCUCUCCUUACACAUAGCAGGUUGCAACCUGGGAAUCAGAGCAAGAAAGAAUCAUGGAGAGCUGAGCCCUACACACCCACAUGCUACGUGUACAGCAGCAGGAGUCAGACCAAACCACUCUACAUUGUUAUCUGUAGGAUUUGGACAUGGUCGCCUCUGGAUUUCUAUUCCUUCAUCUAAGAGAGUCAGUCCCAUUAACAAUCAAUCAUCAAACAACAAACAAACACCCAUGACUCAGGAGAACAACUGCAGUGCAAGAGCAAAUGGGUGGGUUCAGAUCGCCCCUCUAUGAAGGAAAGGCUGACCUAAGCAUGGAUGGCGAAAGACAUGGCCCCAUCAGGAAGCCUACCAUGUUGAACAACUGUCCAAGGGAGCACCAGCUGUCCUGGAAUGGACCAGGCCACUGCAGACUCCACCUUCCCCCUUCUGCUGAAUCUUCAGGCUUCUCACUGGGAAUUGUUUGAGGUUGAGGACUAUAAAUUACAGCAGUUUGGUGUCAUUUUUCACUUUCACCUAAGUAUGAAACUAAUCUUCACUGUCAACUUGAUGGCAUUCAGAAUCACAUGGAAACACACCCCUACACAAGUCUCUGAGUGUAUUUACCAAACUGUUUAGCCCAGCAGGAAAAACCUACCCUAUGUGUGAGUACCACAUUCUACGUACUGGAGUCCACCACUGAAUAAAGGAGAGCAUAUAAGAAACUGCA